rnacentral:rRNA from 1 species
AGCAGCCGCGGUAAUUCCAGCUCCAAUAGCGUAUAUUAAAGUUGUUGCAGUUAAAAAGCUCGUAGUUGAAUUUCGGGAUCAGUACGUCGGUCGUGCCUCCGGUAUGUACUGGCGUUACUGAUUUCUCCCUUCUGGUGAACCAUGAUGUCAUUAAUUUGGUGUUGUGGGGAGCCAGGACUGUUACUUUGAAAAAUUAGAGUGUUUAAAGCAGGCAAACGCUUGAAUACAUUAGCAUGGAAUAAUGAAAUAGGACGUUCGAACCUAUUUUGUUGGUUUCUAGGAUCAACGUAAUGAUUAAUAGGGAUAGUUGGGGGCAUUAGUAUUCAAUUGUCAGAGGUGAAAUUCUUGGAUUUAUUGAAGACUAACUACUGCGAAAGCAUUUGCCAAGGAUGUUUUCAUUAAUCAAGAACGAAAGUUAGGGGAUCGAAGACGAUCAGAUACCGUCGUAGU